rnacentral:tRNA from 1 species
GGAUUGUGGCUCAGUGGUAGAGCGCUCACUUAGCACGGGCAGGACCUGGGUUCGAUUCUCAGCACCA